UACGUAGGGUGCAAGCGUUGUCCGGAAUUAUUGGGCGUAAAGAGCUCGUAGGCGGCCUGUCGCGUCGGCUGUGAAAACCCGAGGCUCAACCUCCAGCCUGCAGUGGGUACGGGCAGACUAGAGUGCGGUAGGGGAGAUUGGAAUUCCUGGUGUAGCGGUGGAAUGCGCAGAUAUCAGGAGGAACACCGAUGGCGAAGGCAGAUCUCUGGGCCGUAACUGACGCUGAGGAGCGAAAGCAUGGGAACGAACAG
rnacentral:rRNA from 1 species